rnacentral:rRNA from 1 species
GACGAACGCUGGCGGCGUGCUUAACACAUGCAAGUCGAACGGAAAGACCCUGCUUUUGUGGGGUGCUCGAGUGGCGAACGGGUGAGUAACACGUGAGUAACCUGCCCUUGACUUUGGGAUAACUUCAGGAAACUGGGGCUAAUACCGGAUAGGAGCUCCUGCUGCAUGGUGGGGGUUGGAAAGUUUCGGCGGUUGGGGAUGGACUCGCGGCUUAUCAGCUUGUUGGUGGGGUAGUGGCUUACCAAGACUUUGACGGGUAGCCGGCCUGAGAGGGUGACCGGCCACAUUGGGACUGAGAUACGGCCCAGACUCCUACGGGAGGCAGGAGUUGGGAAUAUUGCACAAUGGGCGGACGCCUGAUGCAGCAACGCCGCGUGCGGGAUGACGGCCUUCGGGUUGUAACCCGCUUCCGCCUGUGACGAAGCGUGAGUGACGGUAAUGGGUAAAGAAGCAACGGCUAGCUACGUG